GGACACGCAGCCGCAGCCCCCUCACGCUAGCCCGCAGCGUCCGGCGCGGCGGCAGCAGCAGCAGCGGCGGCAGGAGCGGCGCCGCCAGGGCGGGGCCAGCACAUGGGAAGGCGGGGGCUGCGGCUCUCCAGGCUGGACUACCGACCCCAACGGGGGAGCGCGUGCUCAGUGCUCCCGCAGCUCACGCCUGCUCCUCAUUCUCAGAGUCCCAGUUGUCACCUCCAGGAUCUGGCCUAUCGAAAUCUCACGGAUUGCAAGAGGAAGUGUCAUUUUAACAUCAAAGCAAGACUGUGUGGAAUCCUGGCAAACGUUCGUCUCCACAAGGAAGGAAGAACCUACAGCUCACCGAUUUAGCCAAAGUUAAGAAGGCUGCUCCACAACGAUGCCUAUAGCUGGGAGGCAGAGGCAGGAGGAUUGCAAGUCCCAGGUCAGAGUGGUGUGCAUUCCGAGAUCCUGUCUGAGAAAAGCCAGAGCUUUGGGCUGUAACUCAGUGGUACAGUAAUCACAUAGAAUAUGAAUUGCCGUGGCUUCUGUCCCUGAGACCUCCAAAAAUAAAUAAAUGGAGCCCGGUUUUCCAAAGUG